rnacentral:miRNA from 14 species
UGUCCAUUUCCUUGUACAUACCAUGUGUGUGUGUGUGUGUGUGUGUGUGUGUGUGUGUGUAUACAUACAUAUAUACAUACAUAUGUAUAUAUACAUUUAUAC